rnacentral:tRNA from 1 species
GGGCGCAUAGCUCAGCUGGUUAGAGCGCUGCUUUCACACAGCAGAGGUCAGGGGUUCGAGUCCCUUUGCGCCCAC